AAGAGUGAACUAGCUAACUGAAAUCUUAAAAUCAUUUAACAAUGGUUCUUGAGAUAACGUAAGGGAAAAAAUUGAUAGUACCUUACUAUAAGUGUUGUCCAACAUUACUGGUGCCAGAAGACUCGGUAACGCCAGAAACGCAAACGUUAGUCGUCUUAAUCAGGCGUAAAGGGUAAGUAGGCUGCUUUAACAGUUAUUAUUUAGAAAGCUCUUUAAUUUUAUUAAAGUAGGUCAUAAUGAAUUAAAGCUAGAAUCAAAUAGAGGAUAAGACAAAUAACGCAUAGAGUAAGGCUGAUAUCUUUAGAUACUUUGCGGAAUACUAAAGGUGAAAACUUUUAUCUACUAAUGAUUGACGCUGAGGAACGAAGGUGAGAAUAGAAAACAGGAUUAGAGACCCAGGUAUCUCUCACUGUCAACGAUGAAUGGUGGUUGUUAGUUUAAAAUAAACUAGUAACGAUGUUAACGCGAUAACCAUUCCGCCUUGCGAGUACGGUUGCAAAACU
rnacentral:rRNA from 1 species